rnacentral:rRNA from 1 species
GCAGCCGCCGCGGUAAUACGGAGGAUCCAAGCGUUAUCCGGAAUCAUUGGGUUUAAAGGGUCCGUAGGCGGUCUUGUAAGUCAGUGGUGAAAGCCCAUCGCUCAACGGUGGAACGGCCAUUGAUACUGCAGGACUUGAAUUAUUGGGAAGUAACUAGAAUAUGUAGUGUAGCGGUGAAAUGCUUAGAGAUUACAUGGAAUACCAAUUGCGAAGGCAGGUUACUACCAAUUGAUUGACGCUGAUGGACGAAAGCGUGGGUAGCGAACAGGAUUAGAUACCCCUGUAGUCCCUGUCUCUUAUAC